GAUACAAUCCUGUGUAGUUCUUUUCUUCCUUAUGCAGCUGGUAUUGAAUAAGGAAAAUUUCUUCUGAACUGCUGUUCAUGAGCUUCCCCAUGGUGCGCUGGUUCUUGGCUUCGCGAGAACACAAUCAGGAGUUGAGGAGUGGGUAGUAAGAAUAUUAAAUUCAACCCAAUUCUGUGUAACAAGACCCAGUAUAAACCUGCAAGAAUUGCUAAUAUUGGACAGUGAGUUUAUUGGUCUGAUUAUAGAUGAAUACAUGUUUUGCUACCAUCUGCUCAGGGAUCUGAUCACGUGUAGAAAAGUCCUAUCCUGGUGUCGCUUCUUCUGUAGGGCCCAGUCCAACUCCCAGCAGUUCAAUACAAGUUACAGGCCUUUAGUUUUUUGGUCUUCUUUUAGAUAAUGGCCUGGGAUUUUAAGGAGCCAAAGAUGCCUGGCUCUCAUCCUAACAUGGAUGUAUGCAACUGGCUCAUGAUUGAUUCCUUGGUGUGUUCAGCCAUAAAUGGUUGUGCAUGGCUCUCUGACUGCUAUCUUAUCUCUCUGAGAAUGGUGCAAAGAACUGCCCCAAUGAGGAGAGGAUCAUUCCAAGGGGGAAUCUGUCCCUCAGGUUCUCGGUGGGUUCAGUCACCUGAUUCCCCCCUGUACUGAGGCUUCAAAUGUGCAAUGAGAUGCAUCCAAGAAACUAAUAUAUAAACUCCUGACCGCCCACCCCCAUCCACUUGCCCUCCUCUAUGUUUAGAUAAUGAUGUCUCUGUAUGCUCUGCUUCCCUCUUGGCAGCAGAUUCUUACCAUACUUGAUCAGUGUGGCAUUAUUGAUAGAGACUUCAAGGUAAGCUGAGUUGCUUGAGAGACAUUUGUCCCUGCUAAAGAGAGAGAGAGAGAGAGAGGGUGAACAGGCUAUAACUAGAGAGGUGAGGUUAAGGAUUCUGCUGUCUUGAGAUACUUGGAGGAAAAUUCUACCAUUAGAGUAGAGAGAGUAGUUUUUAAGGUCAGAAGGUACCAUUAUUAGAUCGCCUAGCCUUACCUCCUGUAUAACACCAGUCAGAGAAUUUCACCCAGUUACCCCUGCAUUGAGCCUGGUAACUUGUUUGACAAAAGUAUAUUUUUUUAGAUAGGUGUCCAGUCUUGACAUGAAGACAUCAAGAUAUGGGGAGUCCACCAUUUCCCUUGGUAGUUUGUUCCACGGGGUAAUCACCCUCACUUUGUUUAAAAAAAAAAAGGGGGGGGGGAGGGGCUUAUUACUAAUUUGAAUUUCCUGGCUUUGACUUCCAGCCACUGGUUCUUGUUAUACCCUUCUCUGAUAGAUUAAAGAUUCCUUUAGUGCCUAGUAUUUUCUCCCCAGGAAGGUACUUAUAUUAAUUGAUGGGAGCUACAUGCCUUCACAUAGCGUCUAGUGUCUGUGUGUAUUACAUACUGGUGUAUUGUGCGGUACAUUGGUACACUUAUACAAAGUAUAAAUACUGCAGGGAACUCAGGAUAUGCACAGCUUCUUCGACCUCCUCUGUCUCUCAUAUGUGAAACAGAAGAGAGUUUAGUGCCAGACUGAUGGCCUCUGUCUAUCCACAGGUCAGGGUGAGCACAAGCAAUUGAGGAGGGUUGGGCAAACAUGAAGAGGUCCUGCCAGGACCAUGAUAGAACCUGCUGCUUGGAGAGGAGGGAUUCAGUCUGCAGAGGCCAGCACAGAGCAAGGCAGAGAUGGGGGCUGCAAUGCAUGGCUUGUGGUACAGCCCAAUGCUUAUAGAUUGAUGGGUAUUUUUGCAUUUCCUUUCUGAGACGCUGCUUUGAAGGUGUGGCCUCCAUCACUGCCUAAGUGGGAUCUUCAGGAGUUUGAGAUGAUGCGUUAGAGACAGUCCUUGGAAGACAGAGACCCACUUAUCAAACACCAACCAUGCACAUAAGGCAAAGGAACUGCCAGUGCAAUCGGAGAGAGUAACCUGAAGGGAAAGCAGAGGAGAAAUCAGUUUGGGGAGAAGAAAGCUGCUGUUGUAGCUACUGGCAGACAUGUGAUUGGCUCCGGCAACAAUGCAAGUACAGCCAAAGACAGCUGGGAACAUCUUCAGAGCACUGAGCAGCAAGCUGUGCCGAGAGGAAGCCACUAAAAUAUGAGUCACUUCUCCAGCCUGAACUGGGCUGUAUCUGGAAAUGUGUGGGGAUGACUGAAGUCCAUUCAGGUACAAGAAUCCUUAGACAAGGAGAGAGAACACAGCCUAUGCAACAGCUCUUUUUAGUCCACUAUCUGUCAGUUUUUGGGGGCAGAGGAAAAUGCACUCCCAUUGUAUAAUUCACAAUGGAGAUCGACAUUACAGCCCUAAAACCCAGCAGACUAAAAUGUUAAAAGAAGUGAGUGGAGAUCUGCUACCAAGAAUGGGAGACUCUAAAACUGAUUAAAGGCCAAAUAGACCUGGACAGCGAAGUUCCAGUCUGGAUCCUAACUUCCCAAAGGUGUGCUGGAGUUCAGAUAUUGGGGUUAGAUUUGCCUCCACUUCUAGAAUAAUCAUAGGUGGGUCAGCUUCUCAGGUGAUGUUAAUCAGCAUGGCUCUACUGAAGUUGAUGAAGAUAUGACCCAAUUGACCCAAUUUGAAAUGGCAGCUGGAUGUACUCAGCACUUCCGGAAAAGUUAGGAAAUAUGCAUCUGGCGAUGUAACAC